GAAGAGCGCGGUGCCCAGAGCCGCAGCGGGAUCCUCCGCUGUCACCUCUAGGCAGCGGGUGCUGCCGGCGGCCGCCCGGCGUCCUCCCCGGCUCGAGCACCGGCGACGCCGCUAAGGCUCCCCGACCGCCGCCGCUGCUGCUGCUGCCGCUGGUGCUGCCGGCGCCGACGGGAGUUUCGCCGUAAGUAACACAUCGCGCACCGAGUGCCCCAACUAAAGAGCAAAACAACACGUGACCGCCGCCUCACCGAGGCGCUCACACACCGAGACGGGGCGGGGCGCCGCCGCCGCCGGCACCGCCCCGCAUUGGCCGCCGGGCCGCGCGAAGGACGGCUGCGGCCCUCAAUGGGGCUGCGGGGCGGGCUCUCCGCAGCGAGGCGGCGCGACGCCGUUGGACAGCGGGAGCCUCUCCCCCCCAUCCCUUUCCCGCCCCUCCGCGUUCCCGCCCACAGCCUCCGGCCCCCCUCGGGCGCCGCGGAGCCCGCCCCUGCCCUCCGCGCACACAGCGCGGAACGUGCUGGGGACGCGGGCCCGGCGGGAAGACCCGGCACGUCCGGCGAGCCCCGGUGCUGCCCCUCGUCAUCCCUCGGGACACGGCGGGGCGCCGGCGGAGCUCGCCGAGGCCAUAUCAGCAGCAUCUCCGCCCGCUUCGGGAGCGGCUGGGGAAGCCUCCCUUUGCACAUGCCCGAGAGGAGAAGUGAGGCUGGGGUCACGAAAUCAUCCAUCCGUGUUUUCCCGUCUCCCCCCGGAGCGCCGUCGGGACACGCUUUCCUUUGUCGGCCUGCGCCGAAGCUGAAGCAAACGGGUUUGCGAGUGAGGACGAGGGGAAAAAACCCACAAAAACAACACCGCAAACAAAUGAGCAAGGGAAAAAAAAAGACGAAAAUGAUGCGGCGCCUCCAGCUGCCGCCGUGCGGGGCCGUGGCCGAGGUCUCCCCGUGUUCCCGACGGGGAAGGCGCUGGGGCCGCCCGCAGCCCGCAUAUACCGCUGUCGCAGCUCAGCUUCCUCCUGCACGAAAUUCUCCGUGGUUUGGGUCAUAA
rnacentral:lncRNA from 13 species